GUUCACCCCUGCAGUAGUAACCUCGUGAGUGUGGGCAGCGUGUGUUGACCUCUGGGACCAAAACUGUGCCUGUGGUGUCACGGGAUGAGGAGCUGUCUGUUCGAGUGUUGCUUCGUGAGUCUUCCUUCUCCUGGGUCUUCCUUCCUCUGAGUGUCAAUAGGUGAGCGAGUGCCACGACCUUGACAGCCCCAGGUGGAGGCGCUCACAGCUCGUCCUCCGUCAGGCUCACAACACCAUGUGGUCUGCGGCAUCAAAAACAACGUAGAAGGAAGCGAACCUGAGCAAACCCAAACACACCUCACCUCAGCCUCUGCCUCACCUUGACUCUGCCUCGCCUCGCCCUCCUCACGUGCCUCCUCUCGCCACCCCAUCCCCGCCUCGCCCUCGCUUCAUCCCAGGGAAGAAAACAAAUGAUGGAUUCCUGCAGGUGUGGCUUGACUAACUUCAUCUUCUUGCUGCAGGUAUUGUGCUAAGAAAUUCAACAAAGCAAUGAAGGCAAAAGCAACACGCUGCUACACAUGUGUGGCGGCAAGGCAGCACUGAGGCCGUCGACGGUUGAGCUGACUGUGUGACCUUGACAGCCAGUCCAUCCACCCGCUGCCCACCUUUAGGCUAACAGACGUAAGAGGCCACAAAAAUAAAACUGCGAAAACCCCAUAUUUCUAGCUUUCAUGAGACCUAGAACAUCAACACUAGUACAAGAGUAUAUUUAAAAGCCCAGCGCACUCACCAAGCACCCUUUAAAUGCUCAUCAAGCCCUUUAAAUUAAUGCAUUGAUGGCAUUUAAACUUUUCCCUAGAAACACCUUGCCUGAAUCUAAGAGAAU